GACGAACGCUGGCGGCGUGCUUAACACAUGCAAGUCGAACGGUGAUGGGUGGAGCUUGCUCUGCUUUGAUCAGUGGCGAACGGGUGAGUAACACGUGAGUAACCUGCCCCAGACUCUGGAAUAACCCCGGGAAACCGGUGCUAAUACCGGAUAUGACACAGAAUCGCAUGGUUUCUGUGUGGACAGUUUCACGCAAGUGAGACACUUCGGGAGGGGCCUGCGGCCCAUCAGGUAGUUGGUAGGGUAACGGCCUACCAAGCCAACGACGGGUAGGGGACCUGAGAGGGUGGCCCCCCACAUUGGCACUGACACACGGGCCAAACUCCUACGGGAGGCAGCAGUCGGGAAUAUUGCACAAUGGACGAAAGUCUGAUGCAGCAACGCCGCGUGCGCGAUGAAGGCCUUCGGGUCGUAAAGCGCUUUUCGGGAGGAUGAGGAAGGACAGUACUCUCGGAAUAAGUCACGGCUAACUACGUGCCAGCCGCCGCAGUAAUAC
rnacentral:rRNA from 1 species